rnacentral:rRNA from 1 species
GAUGAACGCUGGCGGCGUGCCUAAUACAUGCAAGUCGAGCGAACAGACGAGGAGCUUGCUCCUCUGACGUUAGCGGCGGACGGGUGCGUAACACGUGGAUAACCUACCUAUAAGACUGGGAUAACUUCGGGAAACCGGAGCUAAUACCGGAUAAUAUAUUGAACCGCAUGGUUCAAUAGUGAAAGACGGUUUUGCUGUCACUUAUAGAUGGAUCCGCGCCGCAUUAGCUAGUUGGUAAGGUAACGGCUUACCAAGGCAACGAUGCGUAGCCGACCUGAGAGGGUGAUCGGCCACACUGGAACUGAGACGCGGGCCAGACUCCUACGGGAGGCAGCAGUAGGGAAUCUUCCGCAAUGGGCGAAAGCUUGACGGAGCAACGCCGCGUGAGUGAUGAAGGUCUUCGGAUCGUAAAACUCUGUUAUUAGGGAAGAACAAAUGUGUAAGUAACUAUGCACGUCUUGACGGUACCUAAUCAGAAAGCCACGGCUAACUACGUG